UACGGAGGGUGCGAGCGUUGUCCGGAAUUAUUGGGCGUAAAGAGCGUGUAGGCGGCCUAGUAGGUCAGCUGUGAAAACUCGAGGCUCAACCUCGAGCUGUCGGUUGAAACCACUAGGCUAGAGUCCGGAAGAGGAGAAUGGAAUUCCCGGUGUAGCGGUGAAAUGCGCAGAUAUCGGGAAGAACACCCGUGGCGAAGGCGGGUCUCUGGGACGGUACUGACGCUGAGACGCGAAAGCGUGGGGAGCGAACAGG
rnacentral:rRNA from 1 species